GGGGAAAAUAAUAUAGCUCAGUGGUAGAGCAAUCGACUGCAGAUCGAUAGGUCCCCGGUUCAAACCCGGGUGUCCCCU